rnacentral:rRNA from 1 species
GACGAACGCUGGCGGCGUGCUUAACACAUGCAAGUCGAACGGAAAGGCCAUGCUCUUGCGGGGUGCUCGAGUGGCGCGCGGGGGUGUAACACACGAGUAACCUGCCCUUGACAUUGGGAUAUAUUCAGGAGACUGGGGCUAAUAUCGCAUAGAAGCUCCUGCUGCGUGGUGGGGGUUGGAGAGUUUCGGCGGUUGGGGAUGGACUCGCGGCUUAUCAGCCUGUUGGUGGGGUAGUGGCUUACCAAGGCUUUGACGGGUAGCCGGCCUGAGAGGGUGACCGGCCACAUUGGGACUGAGAUACGGCCCAGACUCAUACGGGAGGCAGCAGUGGGGAAUAUUGCACAAUGGGCGGAAGCCUGAUGCAGCAACGCCGCGUGCGGGAUGACGGCCUUCGGGUUGUAAACCGCUUUCGCCUGUGACGAAGCGUGAGUGACGGUAAUGGGUAAAGAAGCACCGGCUAACUACGUG